AGGUUUCCAAAUGUGGAAUUACUAGACCAAAAGGCACUGCUCGCCUUGGUUCAUUUUUCCUCUCCAUGGUCCACACAUUUUUUCAAAUCCUACAAGAUAAGAGGACCCAGACAUAGCCAGCGAUCCAGGCAGAGCACUUAGAAUUGUACUAUUAACAUUAUUCAGCAUUUGGUUCAUCUCUGCAAAUGCAUUUCAGAUCUGCAUGAUUCCAGCUCCUCGAGCUCCAUUACAAAGGCACAGCCCAUCAAAGCAACUUGCCAGAAAAGCCUCUAGCACCCUUAAUGUAAAAACCAACCCACACCCUGCAGGUGAAAUAGUGCAGGCGGCACAAAAUAAAAAUAAAAACAUAAAAACGAUUUUUGAGAUUAUUUUUUCCACAAGGGAAAGCAAUUCUCUGUGAAUUGACUUAUGGGCCAUGACAUAGAACCCCAAAAUGAAAGAAAGAACGGGAACAGGAGGAAGGAAGACAACCCGCACUCCAGGCAUGGACAGGUGUCCUGUUCGCUCUCCUGUCUCCUGAACCCUCUUCAGAGUCUCCGCCACAAGGAAGGCAGCCUGACCUGCAGUCCCAUGUAGAGUAACAUGGAGACUGGAGAUCUCUCCUACAAGGUUUCACCCCCUAACUUCUCUGAAGAUCCUCUCAGAACAAGAAAAUUUUUUCCCACAGGAGAAUUGGAGAGUCUAUGAGUUCAUGCUCGAAGUGAAUUUCCUAAUUUCCUCUCUGAGCAAAUACCAGGGUAUUUAUUUCUCUUACGUAAUUUCCAGGGAGUCCGCUCUGUGACCCGACUUCUAUUCUGUUGGUCUACUGAGGGACCUUACCGUCAAACGGUCACCCGUGGUGAGAACGUACCCAAGGACUGAUAUAUGACUGCAAAGGAACUUAACAAUUCCUGGAAGGAAAAGGGUUAAGAGCCAGUAAAAACAGCAUAAAUUUACACAUGACCUAGUAUGAUUACACUUUUAUUCUCUUCCUUGCAAGGAACAACAAUGGCGACAUCCAUAAGUAAUGCUUCUGGUCUAAAAACCUUCUCACCAACCUUCUGGUUCGAAGGGAUCUCUAGGCAGAGAGAUGUAUUUGCUGCUGAUUUUUCUUUCAGAAGGUUCUAAAAGGUUCAUUACAUCAUGGAAAAAUAAUCUCCACUAUUGGGAGCAGGGAGCAGCCUUGGGUGAUUGGUUUGUGACGGUCUGAUUCUGGCUGACAAGUUCUAGAAUUACAGCUAUUUUGUCCCCAUCUUAACCUUACUGUGAGGAGGGGAGAUGGCUUCAACAGACAAAGGAACUUGACUUCAGAAAGAAUUAUGAGCAGAAAAUAAAAACAAAAACAAAAAAAACCCGAAAAGGGUCCUGGAGAAAAAUAGGGGACAUGCAUUUGUUUUCUCUUAUAGAUGAGAUCAAAUUCUCCAAAGAGUGAAUGAGCCAGACGCUGCAGUCCUCCAGGUCCUCAUCCUGCAGUGGAGGCUUCCCUAUGGGAACAAACUAGUUGCACACUGAGCACUCUGUAGGGGGUCCAGUUUGGGGCAGUGACGGGUGCGGAUGGAGAGAUAGAAAGUGGCAGGAGCUAGAAGGCAGCCCUCUGCCUACCUCCCAGCCCCAACCCCCACCCCACCGCUCUGAUCCCUUAACUCCCUCCCAGCAGGCCCCUUUCCUUUUUUCCCUUUCUUCUCUAGGAAUUUUCCAUCAGCUAGAGAACAAGGACAUCAGUAGUCACACUAAUGGGAAAAGUUGCAUGUUUUGUCUUUGGCCCUGGCAGCAUCUGGGCAGCCAUGUGCUCGCCUAAGAAGCCCAAUGACGAUGAGUGGUGCAUGGCUGCCCCCGGGGCCCUGUCCUACCAAUGUCACUCUCUUCUCUUCCUCCCCUCUCCUCCUCCUUCCUUGUGGCUCCUUCCCUAAUGUCUCAAGGAAAACCUUUAUGAUGCUUCCUGGCAACGGAGCUCAAUGGCUGGUCUAGAUCAGGAUGGUACCUGGAAGAGGUGGUCUUGGGAACUUUUCAAUAGUUAACUCAUAACUCCAUAAUGAAGGACUCAAUUGAAAUGAAAAAGGUAGCAACCCACAGGGGGGGAAAAAAAAGACAUUUUGAGAUAGUGUCAUUCGGAGACUUUCUUCCUUUAAAUACAAUUUAAAAAGACCUUAAUUCCUUGUGUAGAAUUUUAUUUUAAAGUCCCCUUUAGUUUGUUCAUGGAAACGAUUUAAGAUUGAGGAUUUUGAUGGGAGAGUAUCGACAUCAAGAAAAGGAACCAGAGCCAAAAUCGUGAUUUAUAUGCAAAUGUCCCUGUAUUAUAAGACUCUUAGAAAAUGAAAACUUUUUCCUGAAAUCCAGACCUUUCUUUUUAAACCCAGGAUGUCACCCUUUCCCCUGUUCUGGAACAGGGUGGGAUCUGCAACGCUGUAGCCCAUGGGCCAAAAUCUGGCUCACCGUCUAUACAGCUCCUGAGCUAAGAAGGGUUUACAGUUCUUAACUGUAGGUGGAAAAAAAAUUUUUUGAAAGAAUAAUGUUUUGUGACACUAGACUAUUUUAUAAAAUUCAAAUUUCUAUCUUCAUUAGUAAAUUUGUAACUGGAACGUAGCCACUCUUGGAACGUAGCCACUCAUCGUGUAUGACUGCUGCUUCUGUGAUCUAACAGCUAAGUUGAGUAGAAGAGACAGAGCCCCUGUGUGGCCCACAAACCCUGGGAUACUGACCUUCUGGCCCCUUAUGGACAAAGUUUGCUGAACACCGGUCCAGAAUACUGCUACGGGCAUUAGGCCAAAUUGAGCAUAAAGGGUAGGAAAGCUAUUCCUCAGCUCUAGUAACUAGCAGCUGAAUACAUUUAAUGGUAGGAUUUAUUGAACUGCUGGUGCCUCCUUGUUAAAGUGGAGAGAAAAUGCUCAUAAACUUACUUUUAGGAAUAACCAUAUAUGGAGUAUAAAAUACGUAUUCAAACAAUAAAUAUUUUCUGUUCAAACUAAUUAUAGCUGGCAUUAUUUUUGAUCAAGUUCACGUCCAUGUCAAAAUUCAGUACCUUCCACGAAGCCUCCUAAAAUAAAACUAAGGUUACUGUUAAUAUUAGUCCUUAAAUCAGUGAACAUCAAAACUGAUUCUGUGAGGACUGGAUUUUUGCAAAUCUGUAGCUAGUCUGUUUCAGGCUUGUAGAUCUACAGCAGACCUGAGAGUCUGUGAAACUAUCAAACACAUUUUUCCCGUUGAGCUGCGUCAACUCAAGGUACCGUGCAUUUGAUCUCAUUAGCAAUCGUUAAGUGUUGCAUGUAAGAGGAUUUAGUGAUUGAAAAAUAUAAAGAAAAAAUAAAUAAUAGAAGAAAAUGGAUUAUUUUGCAAAAAAGAAAUUGUGUCCUGAAAAAAUGUUUAAGGGCUUUGAAUUUUGAAUGCAAAUUAUAUCAUAUGAUUCCAUUUCUUUGAGAAAAGAAAAAUCUUUAUAUUUAAACUAGUUUCCAAAUCUGAACCUCUUUCUAUGUUUGUCUUCAGUGCUAGGAUUAGGGUGUGGUAAAGAAGGCAUUACACACCUCAAGUAUGAACUUCAAGAGGCACAAAACAACAAUAACAGCAACAACCCAGUAAUCAAGACAAGUAAGAGUUUAAUGCAUAACUUUUGAAAAAUAAGAAUGCAAAAUAACCCAUGAUGAACAAUAUAGGUCAAAAUUGCUAUAUAUAUUCAGAUUUGUUGAAAUUGCCUGCAAUAGUGGCCAAAAUAUUAAUAUAUAAAAAAAUACAAACCUAUUUCUCUUUCGUGUUAAAAAACAUCUGGAGACGGGCCUUCAAAAUGAUAUUCUGGGGACCCCAAUGUAGUAGAUGUGAUUAUAGUUUAUUUUUUUCCUUAUGCUUGUGCAUUGGCAUUUUCUCAUUUUUCUCGAAAUAUUUAUUAUUUCUUGACAAAGAACAAUGCCUAAAACACUGUAUCAUUUUAAGACUAAAAGGAAGAUGCCAUUCCUUUCUUAUUAAAAGUUUGUCUACUUGAUUAAGACCAAGAUGGCACAUUGAUCCUUCAUUUGCUGAGGUGAUUACAAGUAAAUGCUCUCCUGGUGCACACAGAUUUGCAAUCAUAUUUCCAAACUCAUUAGGGGAAGCCUGUUAUAUCUGUCUAGAAACACAACUAAAUCAUUCAUAUAAUAUUUUGUCCUUUAGCUGUUAAGUGAAUGCAGAAAUAGUUCUAAACCAGUAUAAGUUCACUGGUGAGGCUAGGGGAAAUUUCUUCCCUGGAUUUAACAGAAAAAAAAAAUGAAA